rnacentral:rRNA from 1 species
GGGCCUGCUCGGUGAUUUAUAUUUAACAGCUGCGGUAUUAUAACUGUACUAAGGUAGCAUAGUAAUUUGCCUUAUAAAUUAAGGCUAGAAUGAAUGGUUUGACGAAAAUUAAUCUGUCUCUAUUUUAUUUACUAGAAGUUAAUUUUUAUAGUGAAAAAGCUUAAAUGAUUUAAAGGGACGAAAAGACCCUAUUGAGCUUAUAUUAAUAAUUAAUAUAAAUAAAUAAAUAUAUUAAGUGAGUUAAUUUUGGUUGGGGUGAUCAAGGAAUAAAAGUAGUAUUAUAUAAUAACUUCCUUAAUUUUAUAAUUUUGUUGAGUAAUAAACCAAAUAUUUUUGCUUAUAUGAUAAGUUACCAUAGGGAUAACAGCGUAAUUUUUUUUGAGAGUUCAUAUUG